rnacentral:rRNA from 1 species
GAGUAACGCGUAGGUAAUCUACCCUAAUAUUUGGGAUAACAUUGGGAAACUGGUGCUAAUACCAGAUACCCUUCUUUUCUGUCGGGUUAAGGAGGAAAGGUGGCCUCUUCAUGAAAGCUACCGUAUAAGGAUGAGCCUGCGUACCAUUAGCUAGUAGGUGGGGUAAUGGCCCACCUAGGCAACGAUGGUUAGCGGGUCUGAGAGGAUGAUCCGCCACACUGGAACUGGAACACGGACCAG